rnacentral:rRNA from 1 species
GGGUUGUGAGGUUAAGCGACUAAGCGUACACGGUGGAUGCCCUGGCAGUCAGAGGCGAUGAAGGGCGUGCUAAUCUGCGAUAAGCGCCGGUAAGGUGAUAUGAACCGUUAUAACCGGCGAUACCCGAAUGGGGAAACCCAGUGUGAUUCGUCACACUAUCAUUAACUGAAUCCAUAGGUUAAUGAGGCGAACCGGGGGAACUGAAACAUCUAAGUACCCCGAGGAAAAGAAAUCAACCGAGAUUCCCCCAGUAGCGGCGAGCGAACGGGGAGGAGCCCAGAGCCUGAAUCAGCAUGUGUGUUAGUGGAAGCGUCUGGAAAGGCGCGCGAUACAGGGUGACAGCCCCGUACACAAAAGCGCAUGUGCUGUGAGCUCGAUGAGUAGGGCGGGACACGUGGUAUCCUGUCUGAAUAUGGGGGGACCAUCCUCCAAGGCUAAAUACUCCUGACUGACCGAUAGUGAACCAGUACCGUGAGGGAAAGGCGAAAAGAACCCCGGCGAGGGGAGUGAAAAAGAACCUGAAACCGUGUACGUACAAGCAGUGGGAGCNNNNNNNNNNNNNNNNNNNNNNNNNNNNNNNNNNNNNGGGCGUUAAGUUGCAGGGUAUAGACCCGAAACCCGGUGAUCUAGCCAUGGGCAGGUUGAAGGUUGGGUAACACUAACUGGAGGACCGAACCGACUAAUGUUGAAAAAUUAGCGGAUGACCUGUGGCUGGGGGUGAAAGGCCAAUCAAACCGGGAGAUAGCUGGUUCUCCCCGAAAGCUAUUUAGGUAGCGCCUCGUGAAUUCAUCUCCGGGGGUAGAGCACUGUUUCGGCUAGGGGGCCAUCCCGGCUUACCAACCCGAUGCAAACUGCGAAUACCGGAGAAUGUUAUCACGGGAGACACACGGCGGGUGCUAACGUCCGUCGUGAAGAGGGAAACAACCCAGACCGCCAGCUAAGGUCCCAAAGUCAUGGUUAAGUGGGAAACGAUGUGGGAAGGCCCAGACAGCCAGGAUGUUGGCUUAGAAGCAGCCAUCAUUUAAAGAAAGCGUAAUAGCUCACUGGUCGAGUCGGCCUGCGCGGAAGAUGUAACGGGGCUAAACCAUGCACCGAAGCUGCGGCAGCGACACUGUGUGUUGUUGGGUAGGGGAGCGUUCUGUAAGCCUGCGAAGGUGGCCUGUGAGGGUUGCUGGAGGUAUCAGAAGUGCGAAUGCUGACAUAAGUAACGAUAAAGCGGGUGAAAAGCCCGCUCGCCGGAAGACCAAGGGUUCCUGUCCAACGUUAAUCGGGGCAGGGUGAGUCGACCCCUAAGGCGAGGCCGAAAGGCGUAGUCGAUGGGAAACGGGUUAAUAUUCCCGUACUUGGUGUUACUGCGAAGGGGGGACGGAGAAGGCUAUGUUGGCCGGGCGACGGUUGUCCCGGUUUAAGCGUGUAGGUGUGUGUUCCAGGUAAAUCCGGUUCACUUUAACACUGAGGCGUGACGACGAGGCACUACGGUGCUGAAGCAACAAAUGCCCUGCUUCCAGGAAAAGCCUCUAAGCAUCAGGUAACAUCAAAUCGUACCCCAAACCGACACAGGUGGUCAGGUAGAGAAUACCAAGGCGCUUGAGAGAACUCGGGUGAAGGAACUAGGCAAAAUGGUGCCGUAACUUCGGGAGAAGGCACGCUGACACGUAGGUGAAGUGAUUUACUCAUGGAGCUGAAGUCAGUCGAAGAUACCAGCUGGCUGCAACUGUUUAUUAAAAACACAGCACUGUGCAAACACGAAAGUGGACGUAUACGGUGUGACGCCUGCCCGGUGCCGGAAGGUUAAUUGAUGGGGUCAGCGCAAGCGAAGCUCCUGAUCGAAGCCCCGGUAAACGGCGGCCGUAACUAUAACGGUCCUAAGGUAGCGAAAUUCCUUGUCGGGUAAGUUCCGACCUGCACGAAUGGCGUAAUGAUGGCCAGGCUGUCUCCACCCGAGACUCAGUGAAAUUGAACUCGCUGUGAAGAUGCAGUGUACCCGCGGCAAGACGGAAAGACCCCGUGAACCUUUACUAUAGCUUGACACUGAACAUUGAGCCUUGAUGUGUAGGAUAGGUGGGAGGCUUUGAAGUGUGGACGCCAGUCUGCAUGGAGCCGACCUUGAAAUACCACCCUUUAAUGUUUGAUGUUCUAACGUGGACCCGUUACCCGGGUUGCGGACAGUGUCUGGUGGGUAGUUUGACUGGGGCGGUCUCCUCCUAAAGAGUAACGGAGGAGCACGAAGGUUGGCUAAUCCUGGUCGGACAUCAGGAGGUUAGUGCAAUGGCAUAAGCCAGCUUGACUGCGAGCGUGACGGCGCGAGCAGGUGCGAAAGCAGGUCAUAGUGAUCCGGUGGUUCUGAAUGGAAGGGCCAUCGCUCAACGGAUAAAAGGUACUCCGGGGAUAACAGGCUGAUACCGCCCAAGAGUUCAUAUCGACGGCGGUGUUUGGCACCUCGAUGUCGGCUCAUCACAUCCUGGGGCUGAAGUAGGUCCCAAGGGUAUGGCUGUUCGCCAUUUAAAGUGGUACGCGAGCUGGGUUUAGAACGUCGUGAGACAGUUCGGUCCCUAUCUGCCGUGGGCGCUGGAGAACUGAGGGGGGCUGCUCCUAGUACGAGAGGACCGGAGUGGACGCAUCACUGGUGUUCGGGUUGUCAUGCCAAUGGCACUGCCCGGUAGCUAAAUGCGGAAGAGAUAAGUGCUGAAAGCAUCUAAGCACGAAACUUGCCCCGAGAUGAGUUCUCCCUGAGACUUAGAGUCUCCUGAAGGAACGUUGAAGACGACGACGUUGAUAGGCCGGGUGUGUAAGCGCAGCGAUGCGUUGAGCUAACCGGUACUAAUGAACCGUGAGGCUUAACCUUACAACGCCGAAG